rnacentral:sRNA from 1 species
UAGACUGGCUUUUUGGAGACUGAAGUCUUCUGCUGACUCGCAGAGCAGACACGGUACAGGAGUGUGCAGUCACACCCCACAGAGCACUUUGCCACGUGCCUCUGCAGGCCUGGAGACGUGACUGCAGGGUGAGAAGGUGACUCCGUCUCCUUCGUCUUUUUCUUUACCUCUGAGCCU